UAAACAAGAAGAAACAGGACUGAAUAAA
rnacentral:piRNA from 1 species